UUUCCUCAGCUGAUUUUACAGACAACAAACGAGAAACCAGUAAUUCUAAUGAACUAUACUUAGAAAAUCUUUGCAUAGCAGAGAACAGUGAUCAACCUGCACGACAAGGUAGUGCAACACCCCAACGACAGAAGGGCAAGAAUACAUCCGGGAAUUACCAGAAGACACCAGGAAAGCCCUGUUUUGAAGCAUAUAUAUCAGAGGCUGAUCUCAAGAAAGGACUGGAUUCAGGAC